rnacentral:rRNA from 1 species
UACAGAGGGUGCGAGCGUUGUUCGGAAUUACUGGGCGUAAAGCGCGCGCAGGCGGCUCUUUAAGUCUCAGGGUCAAAGACCGGGGCUCAACCCCGUGUUCGCCCCGGGAUACUGGAGAGCUAGGGACAUGUAGGGGCGAGCGGAAUUCCGGGGUGUAGCGGUGGAAUGCGUAGAGAUCCGGAAGAACACCGGGGGCGAAGGCGGCUCGCUGGGCAUGGUCCGACGCUGAGGCGCGAAAGCGUGGGGGAGCGAACAGG